AUUGAACGCUGGCGGCAUGCUUUACACAUGCAAGUCGAACGGUAACAGGCCGCAAGGUGCUGACGAGUGGCGAACGGGUGAGUAAUGCAUCGGAACGUGCCCAGUCGUGGGGGAUAACUACUCGAAAGAGUAGCUAAUACCGCAUACGAUCUAUGGAUGAAAGCGGGGGACCGUAAGGCCUCGCGCGAUUGGAGCGGCCGAUGUCAGAUUAGGUAGUUGGUGGGGUAAAGGCUCACCAAGCCAACGAUCUGUAGCUGGUCUGAGAGGACGACCAGCCACACUGGGACUGAGACACGGCCCAGACUCCUACGGGAGGCAGCAGUGGGGAAUUUUGGACAAAGGGCGCAAGCCUGAUGCAGCAAUGCCGCGUGCAGGAAGAAGGCCUUCGGGUUGUAAACUGCUUUUGUACGGAACGAAACGGCUCUGGUUAAUACCCGGGGCUAAUGACGGUACCGUAAGAAUAAGCACCGGCUAACUACGUG
rnacentral:rRNA from 1 species